AAACCAGCACCUCAAGUGGUCAGGAGGGUUAUUGGGCCUAAAGCAUCCGUAGCCUGCUUUGUAAGUUUUCGGUUAAAUCCAUAUGCUCAACAUAUGGGCUGCCGGGAAUACUGCAUAGCUAGGGAGUGGGAGAGGUAGACGGUACUCGGGAGGAAGUGGUAAAAUGCUUUGAUCUUUCGAUGACCACCUGUGGCGAAGGCGGUCUAUCAGAACACGUCCGACGGUGAGGGAUGAAAGCUGGGGGAGCAAACCGGAUUAGAAACCCCGGUAGUCC
rnacentral:rRNA from 1 species